UUGCAAUGAUGACAAUUCUUAGGACACCUUUGGAUUAACCAUGAAAACAACGACAUUCUGAGCAGC